UAAUUGCUUGUUUUUCAGGCCGUUUGCUGCAGUAGCUGCUGUAGGCGAGUCUUGUGCUGGGAUGGGCUGCUCUUUUAUUCUUUUCAUCCGAAUAUUGGCGUCUUCCGUCAUUAUUGGCUCUCAGACAUCUUUAUGAAUUUCCCUCCAUUUUUGUUAGUCCGUGUUCUGCUCCCAUUGAGAUCGAAUAGAUUAAAGGGCAGCUCUGCUCCGCUGCGUCCCUGCAGUCUGCGACGGUCGUGUCUCGUGGGGAGAGACAUGGGGUCCUGAAGUAAGGGUCGUCUUCUCAGCGCCUGAACGCUCAAGAGCCUCGGUUGGGUCUUCGUUUGUCUCCGUCCAUGAACGUCUUGAGGCAACACGAGUGCUGCAUUUAGAUGAUGUUUUGUUUCUACUGGACUGAUUAAAACGUGACAAGCCACGGACGAGGAAGGCAUGUCCUUCCAAGCCCGACCCCUGUCUGUGUCACCUGAUGCGUGGAUGUGCUGUGACAGACUCCGUAUCUUUGUUAUCCCAGCUCGUAUAUCUCGCUUGAACGGUGAUUUUGUUUAUAUCUAACAGGACCGAAAAGCUGCUAUUUUUAUUUUCACCAUCUUUGCAACGUUGCUUCCCCGAUGCCGUUAUUUAUUCAGACAGUCCCGCAUUGCUGCUGUUGCAAGUGCAAGGCGGUUAAAAAAAAUUAUAUAUAAUUUUUCCACAGUUUCCACAGAUGGGGCAGGUGGACUCAAAAGCAGGAGAAGCGGCCAUAGAUUCAUGGGCACAGAAGCGAGCCGCUAGCGUCGAGCUUCACGGGCCGGGCGGAGAGACGGACGCAGCCAGUUGUCGGCGGCAACAGCAUCUAAUAAAUUCUGGGGCUCGUAAAACCGAAAGGCCAGAAUGGGGGCAGGUGGCCAUCUCUGUUCGUCCGAAGCUCCAUGCCUUGGCGUGUGGGAAUGGGGGGUGUGCCCUGGUACUGAGGGGCUGACGCCCUUUGCGUAAGGAGGUUUUCGGGGCUGACGCCCUUUGCGCAGGGAGGUUUUCGGGGCUGACGCCCUUUGCGCAGGGAGGUUUUCGGGGCUGACGCCCUUUGCGCAGGGAGGUUUUCGGGGCUGACGCCCUUUGCGCAGGGAGGUUUUCGGGGCUGACGCCCUUUGCGCAGGGAGGUUUUCGGGGCUGACGCCCUUUGCGCAGGGAGGUUUUCGGGGCUGACGCCCUUUGCGCAGGGAGGUUUUCGGGGCUGACGCCCUUUGCGCAGGGAGGUUUUCGGGGCUGACGCCCUUUGCGCAGGGAGGUUUUCGGGGCUGACGCCCUUUGCGCAGGGAGGUUUUCGGGGCUGACGCGAGUUUGGAAUGCAGAGACGUUACGUAAUAUCUGCAGCGUCCUGGGUGCCUGGGUUACAGUUAGACAGCAGGCCCCCACAUGCGCCUGCGCACACAUACAUGUGCGUGUAUGCGCAGCCCCAGCAGUCAUGCGUCACGAUGUAGGUGUAAAGAGUGCCUGACAAUCGCAGCCUGCUUUCAGUUCAUCCUCAGUGCAGGUGGAGUGGGUUUGUGUGUGUGUGUGUGUGUGUGUGUGUGUGUGUGUGUGUGUGUGUGUGUGUGUGUGUGUGUGUGUGUGUGUGUGUGUGUGUGUGUGUGUGUGUGUGUGUGUGUGUGUGUGUCCAGUGCUUGCCCACCAUCCCAGGCUAGCUGCGGGAUGAGCUCUCUGCACCUCUGCAGUAAUUCCUGCGGGCAGCCUGAGGAACUGCAUGACUGUAGCGAGCGGAGAUGCGAGGCUGUGUUCCACCACACGUUCUUGCCUCUCUCUCUCUCCCCACCAGCCAGGCCUAUUAGAUCCAACAAAACUAGUAUCAGG